AGAAUCAACGCUGGCGGCGUGCCUAACACAUGCAAGUCGCACGAGAAAAGGACUUCGGUCCUGAGUACAGUGGCGCACGGGUGAGUAACACGUGGAUCAUCUACCUCCGAGUGGGGAAUAACCUAGAGAAAUCUGGGCUAAUACCGCAUAACACUUACGAGUCAAAGCAGCAAUGCGCUUGGAGAGGAGUUCGCGGCAGAUUAGUUAGUUGGCGGGGUAAUGGCCCACCAAGACGAUGAUCUGUA
rnacentral:rRNA from 1 species